UACAGAGGGUGCAAGCGUUAAUCGGAAUUACUGGGCGUAAAGCGCGCGUAGGUGGUUUGUUAAGUUGGAUGUGAAAUCCCCGGGCUCAACCUGGGAACUGCAUUCAAAACUGACAAGCUAGAGUAUGGUAGAGGGUGGUGGAAUUUCCUGUGUAGCGGUGAAAUGCGUAGAUAUAGGAAGGAACACCAGUGGCGAAGGCGACCACCUGGACUGAUACUGACACUGAGGAGCGAAAGCCAGGGGAGCAAACGGG
rnacentral:rRNA from 1 species